rnacentral:rRNA from 1 species
GACGAACGCUGGCGGCGUGGAUUAGGCAUGCAAGUCGGACGGUAGGGCUUUAUCGUAAGAUAGAGUUUGAGAGUGGCGAACGGGUGAGUAACACGUAGGAAUCUACCCUUAAGACGGGGACAACCCAGGGAAACUUGGGCUAAUACCGGAUGAGAGUGCGAGAGAUUGCAUUUAAAAGGAUGGCGAAAGUUGUCGCUUAGGGAUGAGCCUGCGGUCUAUUAGUUAGUUGGUGAGGUAAGAGCUCACCAAGGCGAUGAUAGAUAGGCGGCCUUAACGGGUGGUCGCCCACACUGGGAUUGAGAUACGGCCCAGACUCCUACGGGAGGCAGCAGUCGAGAAUAGUCUACAAUGGCCGGAAGACUGAUAGUGCGACGCCGCGUGAACGAUGAAUCCCUUCGGGGUGUAAAGUUCUUUUAUAUGUGAGCAGUGCUUCUUAAUAUUAACAGUAAUGGGGAGAGAGAUAUUAGCAUAUGAAUAAGCAACGGCUAACUCCGUGCCAGCA